GAUGAACGCUGGCGGCGUGCCUAAUACAUGCAAGUCGAGCGAACGGACGAGAAGCUUGCUUCUCUGAUGUUAGCGGCGGACGGGUGAGUAACACGUGGAUAACCUACCUAUAAGACUGGGAUAACUUCGGGAAACCGGAGCUAAUACCGGAUAAUAUUUUGAACCGCAUGGUUCAAAAGUGAAAUACGGUCUUGCUGUCACUUAUAGAUGGAUCCGCGCUGCAUUAGUUAGUUGGUAAGGUAACGGCUUACCAAGGCAACGAUGCAUAGCCGACCUGAGGGGGUGAUCGACAACAGUGGAACUGGGACGCGGUCCAAACUCCUACGGGAGGCACGGGUAGGAAAUCUUCCGCAGUGGGCGAAAGCCUGACGGAGCAACGCCGCGUGAGUGAUGAGGUCUUCGGAUCGUAAAACUCUGUUAUUAGGGAAGAACAUAUGUGUAAGUAACUGUGCACAUCUUGACGGUACCUAAUCAGAAAGCCACGGCUAACUACGUG
rnacentral:rRNA from 1 species